UACAGAGGUGGCAAGCGUUGUUCGGAAUUACUGGGCGUAAAGGGCGCGUAGGCGGCCAUCUAAGUCAGACGUGAAAUCCCCCGGCUUAACCUGGGAACUGCGUCUGAUACUGGAAGGCUUGAGUAUGGGAGAGGGAUGUAGAAUUCCAGGUGUAGCGGUGAAAUGCGUAGAUAUCUGGAGGAAUACCGGUGGCGAAGGCGGCAUCCUGGACCGACAUUGACGCUGAACGGCGAAAGCUAGGGGAGCAAACGGG
rnacentral:rRNA from 1 species